CCUACGGGUGGCAGCAGUGGGGAAUAUUGCACAAUGGGCGCAAGCCUGAUGCAGCCAUGCCGCGUGUGUGAAGAAGGCCUUCGGGUUGUAAAGCACUUUCAGCGGGGAGGAAGGCGGUGAGGUUAAUAACCUCAUCGAUUGACGUUACCCGCAGAAGAAGCACCGGCUAACUCCGUGCCAGCAGCCGCGGUAAUACGGAGGGUGCAAGCGUUAAUCGGAAUUACUGGGCGUAAAGCGCACGCAGGCGGUCUGUCAAGUCGGAUGUGAAAUCCCCGGGCUCAACCUGGGAACUGCAUUCGAAACUGGCAGGCUAGAGUCUUGUAGAGGGGGGUAGAAUUCCAGGUGUAGCGGUGAAAUGCGUAGAGAUCUGGGGGAAUACCGGUGGCGAAGGCGGCCCCCUGGACAAAGACUGACGCUGAUGUGCGAAAGCGUGGGGAUCAAACAGGAUUAGAUACCCGUGUAGUC
rnacentral:rRNA from 1 species